UGGGGAAUUUUGGACAAUUGGGCGAAAGCCUGAUCCAGCAAUGCCGCGUGUGUGAAGAAGGCCUUCGGGUUGUAAAGCACUUUUGUCCGGAAAGAAAUCCUUGGCUCUAAUACAGUCGGGGGAUGACGGUACCGGAAGAAUAAGCACCGGCUAACUACGUGCCAGCAGCCGCGGUAAUACGUAGGGUGCAAGCGUUAAUCGGAAUUACUGGGCGUAAAGCGUGCGCAGGCGGUUUGCUAAGACCGAUGUGAAAUCCCCGGGCUCAACCUGGGAACUGCAUUGGUGACUGGCAGGCUAGAGUAUGGCAGAGGGGGGUAGAAUUCCACGUGUAGCAGUGAAAUGCGUAGAGAUGUGGAGGAAUACCGAUGGCGAAGGCAGCCCCCUGGCCAAGUACUGACGCUCAUGCACGAAAGCGUGGGGAGCAAACNGGAUUAAUACCCUGGUAGUCCACGCCCCUAAAANGAUGUCAACUAGUUGUUGGGGGAUUCAUUUUCCUUAGUAACGUAGCUAACGCGUGAAGUUGACCGCC
rnacentral:rRNA from 1 species